GUAGGGAAUAUUGGGCAAUGGAGGCAACUCUGACCCAGCCAUGCCGCGUGCAGGAUGACGGCCCUCUGGGUUGUAAACUGCUUUUAUACGGGAAGAAAAAAUACUACGUGUAGUAUACUGACGGUACCGUAAGAAUAAGGAUCGGCUAACUCCGUGCCAGCAGCCGCGGUAAUACGGAGGAUCCAAGCGUUGUCCGGAUUUAUUGGGUUUAAAGGGUGCGUAGGCGGAUCUUUAAGUCAGUGGUGAAAGCCUGCAGCGUAACUGUAGAAUUGCCAUUGAAACUGAAGAUCUUGAAUGUGGUUAAAGUAGACGGAAUGUAUCAUGUAGCGGUGAAAUGCUUAGAUAUGAUACAGAACACCGAUAGCGAAGGCAGCUUGCUGAACCAUUAUUGACGCUGAGGCACGAAAGCGUGGGGAGCGAACAGGAUUAGAAACCCUUGUAGUCC
rnacentral:rRNA from 1 species